GAUGAACGCUGGCGGCGUGCCUAAUACAUGCAAGUCGAGCGAAUGGAUUAAGAGCUUGCUCUUAUGAAGUUAGCGGCGGACGGGUGAGUAACACGUGGGUAACCUGCCCAUAAGACUGGGAUAACUCCGGGAAACCGGGGCUAAUACCGGAUAACAUUUUGAACCGCAUGGUUCGAAAUUGAAAGGCGGCUUCGGCUGUCACUUAUGGAUGGACCCGCGUCGCAUUAGCUAGUUGGGGAGGUAACGGCUCACCAAGGCGACGAUGCGUAGCCGACCUGAGAGGGUGAUCGGCCACACUGGGACUGAGACACGGCCCAGACUCCUACGGGAGGCAGCAGUAGGGAAUCUUCAGCAAUGGACGAAAGUCUGACGGAGCAACACCGCGUGAGUGAUGAAGGCUUUCGGGUCGUAAAACUCUGUUGUUAGGGAAGAACAAGUGCUAGUUGAAUAAGCUGGCACCCUGACGGUACCUAGCCAGAAAGCCACGGCUAACUACGUGCCAGCCGCCGCUGUAA
rnacentral:rRNA from 1 species